rnacentral:rRNA from 1 species
AGUGAACGCUGGCGGUAGGCCUAACACAUGCAAGUCGAACGGCAGCACAGUAAGAGCUUGCUCUUACGGGUGGCGAGUGGCGGACGGGUGAGGAAUACAUCGGAAUCUACUUUUUCGUGGGGGAUAACGUAGGGAAACUUACGCUAAUACCGCAUACGACCUACGGGUGAAAGCAGGGGAUCUUCGGACCUUGCGCGAUUGAAUGAGCCGAUGUCGGAUUAGCUAGUUGGCGGGGUAAAGGUCCACCAAGGCGACGAUCCGUAGCUGGUCUGAGAGGAUGAUCAGCCACACUGGAACUGAGACACGGUCCAGACUCCUGCGGGAGGCAGCAGUGGGGAAUAUUGGACAAUGGGCGCAAGCCUGAUCCAGCCAUACCGCGUGGGUGAAGAAGGCCUUCGGGUUGUAAAGCCCUUUUGUUGGGAAAGAAAAGCAGCAGGUUAAUACCCCGCUGUUCUGACGGUACCCAAAGAAUAAGCACCGGCUAACUUCGUG